GAUGAGCCCGCGGCGGAUUAGCUUGUUGGUGGGGUAACGGCCUACCAAGGCGACGAUCCGUAGCUGGUCUGAGAGGACGAUCAGCCACACUGGGACUGAGACACGGCCCAGACUCCUACGGGAGGCAGCAGUGGGGAAUCUUGCGCAAUGGGCGAAAGCCUGACGCAGCGACGCCGCGUGAGGGAAGAAGGCCUUCGGGUUGUAAACCUCUUUCAGGAGGGACGAAGCCACUCGGGUUAAUAGCCCAGAGGGUGACGGUACCUCCAGAAGAAGCCCCGGCUAACUACGUGCCAGCAGCCGCGGUAAUACGUAGGGGGCUAGCGUUGUCCGGAUUUAUUGGGCGUAAAGAGCGUGUAGGCGGCCAGGUAGGUCCGUUGUGAAAACUGGAGGCUUAACCUCCAGCUGUCGAUGGAAACCAUCUGGCUAGAGUCCGGAAGAGGAGAGUGGAAUUCCUGGUGUAGCGGUGAAAUGCGCAGAUAUCAGGAAGAACACCCGUGGCGAAGGCGGCUCUCUGGGACGGUACUGACGCUGAGACGCGAAAGCGUGGGGAGCGAACAGGAUUAGAUACCCUGGUAGUCCACGCCGUAAACGAUGGGUGCUAGGUGU
rnacentral:rRNA from 1 species